GACAGAUAGGCUGACAAACAAACGCUCAUUUUGCGCCUCAAACAUUCAGUCAUCGUUGAGAGCUGUAGCAGUAAAGUUGGAAUAAUCGGAAGCGAGAAAAAAAAAUUUGUGAGGCACUCUCCACCAUUCCAAGAAAAUGCUCAAAAAACGAAAUUUUGCUGCAUGCAAGAUAUCAACAUCUAAUGCCUAACAUCCAAUAGUUUAUCAACGGGGAUCAAGGGAGUUUUUCGCAAAGGGAAAAACUUCAAGUCGACUCAUUAUACUACACUACGUAUGGCGCCACAUUGGCGGCCCUCCUCGCGGUGAUCCCCGGGCAACGUCAAUUCAAAAGGCAAUUGACGGCGAAAAUGAGCGGCGCAACAGGGCGAAUUCAGGAGGAAUUCCCACAGCCAAACCAACACAGCACAUGUUGGUAACACCUCAAGCAAAAGCUAAGGACGAUGUUGCCAUAUCUCCUUAGUUUUUAAACAACAACACACACACAAAGAAAACCAUCCCCCCACAGCAGAGCGGGGAUAUUUCAAUGAAACUUCAGGCCAAGAGCAUGGCCAGAAGUUCACAAAGCCACUGACUACAGUCAGUGUAGGAGUGGGUUACACCACCUCACCCAGGCUGCCAGAACGCGGCAGUUAACAUCGAUUCUCUCUUAGAACACAAGAGAGAUUAUCAAAGAACAAUUUCCCGAAGAUCCAAUGCCCAAAGAUAUGCCUUGCGUUUAGCACAAAUUCUGUGGAGGAGAGUUUUACAAGGUUGUGAAGCAGCGAGAAACUUAGGAGUACUAAGAGGCCCAAUCCAUGGAUACAGCACUUUAAGAAUCUGCGGCGCACAAUUCUUCGAGCCCAGAGUUUUUGUAAGGAGCGAUUCUUUAAACUAAGAAAGAGCUCCAUCCAACAGUCGGCUCGUCUCUUCACCAUCGAGAAAUUUGUCGGAAGGCAUGGACAAGUCUUAGGGCAGCAAAGAUUAUUGGCAAAAUUGUUCACAGCAGCAGCAGUCACCCAUUAACGAAGAGUUGGGAGAACUUCCUGCCAUUGAAGAUGCUGUCUAAUCGAGGAGUUUGCCUACAAGCUCAAUACCAUCAAGAGGAACUUUGACGAAAGAAAACCAAUCUCAAAGAAAAAUCUUCAUCAACAAUAACCUUGAAGGAAGGCUUCCUUCCACAAUUGCAUAUAGCCUUAUCAAUUGUGUUUACUCUCACGCUCUGUGAGUUUUAAUAUAACAAGAACCAAAAAAAUCCAAAAAAAAAAAUUAAAAAUAAAA